GACGAACGCUGGCGGCGUGCUUAACACAUGCAAGUCGAACGGAAAGGCCCUGCUUUUGUGGGGUGCUCGAGUGGCGAACGGGUGAGUAACACGUGAGUAACCUGCCCUUGACUUUGGGAUAACUUCAGGAAACUGGGGCUAAUACCGGAAAGGAGCUCCUGCUGCAUGGUGGGGGUUGGAAAGUUUCGGCGGUUGGGGAUGGACUCGCGGCUUAUCAGCUUGUUGGUGGGGUAGUGGCUUACCAAGGCUUUGACGGGUAGCCGGCCUGAGAGGGUGACCGGCCACAGGGGGACGGAGAUACGGCCCGGACUCCUACGGGAGGCAGCAGUGGGGAAUAUUGCACAAUGGGCGGAAGCCUGAUGCAGCAACGCCGCGUGCGGGAUGACGGCCUUCGGGUUGUAAACCGCUUUCGCCUGUGACGAAGCGUGAGUGACGGUAAUGGGUAAAGAAGCACCGGCUAACUACGUG
rnacentral:rRNA from 1 species